rnacentral:lncRNA from 1 species
CACGUUGUCUCACGCGACUUCCUAGAUUCCAGAGGCUUCUUUUCUGUGGGCGUGGCCAAGGCAGCGGGGGUUUAUGACAAAGUUGAGCGACCUCAUGUCACUCAAACCAGCUGUAUUAAGGAAGGUGCAAGCUUUUGGGAUUUCUGUUUGGAUUUAGUUUAGGUUCAAAAGAGCACGCACAGAUCCUGAGUGUUGUCAAGCACCCGUGACUGGGAAACGGAGGCGUCCGAUCCGUAUUGGAGUCAAUUCGCCACUUAAUUGGUUGGUGAGGUCAGCUGACUACUAGAAGACAGAUCUAUUUGAAGAUUUUUGUGGUGGUCUUUACUACUCCAGAGAUUUACAGCUGAUGAAAAAUGGAGAAGUACAUGACCCUACCCUGCUGUUGGACAUGCUACCCAAGGAUCAUGACUGACAACUUGUCAACAUCACUAUUGCUUAUUUAAUAAAUGUGCAGUACUACUUCAAUAAACCUGGAAUCAUAAAAUUUUAGAGAACAAA